UGGUCCGCAUUGAGUCCGGUCUGUUCCGGAGACUCUGAGCGCGGCCGCGGAGCUGCAGUGGCGGGGAGUGGGGUGCGGAUCUUGUGUUUGCGCACGCAGUCGCCGGCCACCUCAGGCCGGAGCUAGAGAUACGGCUCGGGAUAGGAGGGCCCGGCGGCUCUGAGGCAGGUUCGCCUCGAGCCGCACGGCCCGGAGCAGCGGCUCCGCGGUGGUCCCCGGGGCUUGAGAGGGGUGCGGGCCUGGGAGCCCCUGAGGGCCUGAUUUACGGAACUCCCCCUCCUUCCUCCUUUCUGCCGUUCCCUGCUCUGUGGCGGAUGCGCAGGGAUCAGUAGGGACGGCAGCAGUAGGGCCACUCGGGCCUGCCCCGCUUCCCGCAUUGCCCGGUUUGGCGCGCCGCCUCCGGGCCUUGGCAAAGCCCCAGCGCCCGAUUGUCACUGACCAGUGCUUGGAAGUCCUUUACCGACUGCCCGUCAGCGUCCCGCGGAGAGGAUUUUGCGUCUCCAAAGACGCCCCUCUUCCGAAAACAGGCUCCUCUGUGUUCUCAGUCGGGUAUAUUUUUCUGUCUCCAAACUAGAUUGGCAGCCGUUUUUUGAGAGCAGGAUGGCACCUGACUUGAAGAUAGCACCUGACUUGAAGAUGGCACCUGACUAGCAUUUGGACUGGUUUGCAGGCUGAGCACAGGGUUGCUCCAGGUGGGCCCAAAUGCUGAAGAGCCUCAUGUUAGAGUUUUUCACCUCUGCGAUGGAACUGUGGUGGACUCCAGUAUCAUCAUUCCAGGGAGGCAUAGCCGCACCAACUGUGUUCCCAGGUUUCACAUGGAGAAGGGUUUUAGAAAGUGCAGAUAGCCUUGAAACCAUUGGUUUCCUACCACUGUUUAUUUCAGCAUAACUUUUUUUGUGUGGAAUGCUAGCUCUGGAAGAGCAGAAAUAAAUACAGCUUAAGCUUUGAACCAUA
rnacentral:lncRNA from 1 species